AUUGAACGCUGGCGGCAUGCUUUACACAUGCAAGUCGAACGGUAACAGGCCUUCGGGUGCUGACGAGUGGCGAACGGGUGAGUAAUGCAUCGGAACGUACCCAGAGGUGGGGGAUAACGCAGCGAAAGCUGUGCUAAUACCGCAUGUGAUCUGAGGAUGAAAGUGGGGGACCGAGCAGCAAUGUUUGGCCUCGCGCCUUUGGAGCGGCCGAUGUCGGAUUAGCUAGUUGGUGGGGUAAAGGCCUACCAAGGCGACGAUCCGUAGCUGGUCUGAGAGGACGACCAGCCACACUGGGACUGAGACACGGCCCAGACUCCUACGGGAGGCAGCAGUGGGGAAUUUUGGACAAUGGGCGCAAGCCUGAUCCAGCAAUGCCGCGUGCGGGAGGAAGGCCUUCGGGUUGUAAACCGCUUUUGGCAGGAACGAAACGGUGUCCGCUAAUACCGGGCGCUAAUGACGGUACCUGCAGAAUAAGCACCGGCUAACUACGUG
rnacentral:rRNA from 1 species